rnacentral:rRNA from 1 species
GACGAACGCUGGCGGCGUGCUUAACACAUGCAAGUCGAACGGAAAGGCGCUGCUUUUGUGGGGUGCUGGAGUGGCGAACGGGUGGGUGACAAGCGAGUAACCUGCCCAUGACUUUGGGAUAACUUCCGGAAACAGGGGGUAAUACCGGAUAGGAGCUCCUUAGGCAUGGUUGGGGUAGUAGAGAUACGGCGGUCGGGGAUGGUUGCGCGGUUUAUCAGCUUCUUGGUGGGGUAGUGGCUUACCAAGGCUUCGCCGGGUAGCCGGCCUGAGAGCGUGACCGGCCACAUUGGGACUGCGGUACGGCCCAGACGGCAACGUGAGGCAGCGGUGGAGAAUAUUGCGCAAUGGGCGGAAGCCGGAUGCAACAACGCCGCGUGCGGGAUGACGGCCUGCAGGUUGUAAACCGGUUUCGCCUGUGACGAACCUUGAGUGACGGUAAUGGGUAAGAAAGCAACGGCUAACUACGUG